UCAGACAGCCAUAGUAAUCAGGUUACACCUGUUCCCAUUCCGAACACAGAAGUUAAGCUGAUUACGUCAUGUGUGUUAGUUUCGCAAGAAGCAAAGCACGGAUGCUGUCACCU
rnacentral:rRNA from 1 species